UGAGGAAUAUUGGUCAAUGGGCGGGAGCCUGAACCAGCCAAGCCGCGUGAGGGAGGAAGGCCCUAUGGGUCGUAAACCUCUUUUGUCAGGGAACAAAAGCGAGUAUGUAUACUAGUCUGAGUGUACCUGAAGAAAAACGCAUCGGCUAACUCCGUGCCAGCAGCCGCGGUAAUACGGAGGAUGCGAGCGUUAUCCGGAUUUAUUGGGUUUAAAGGGCGCGUAGGCGGCGGUGCAAGUCAGCGGUAAAAGCCCGGGGCUCAACCCCGGCGAGCCGUUGAAACUGCAGUGCUAGAGAAGGCGAGAGGUACGCGGAAUGCGCAGUGUAGCGGUGAAAUGCUUAGAUAUUGCGCAGAACUCCGAUUGCGAAGGCAGCGUACUGGCGCCUGACUGACGCUGAGGCACGAAAGCGUGGGGAUCGAACAGGAUUAGAUACC
rnacentral:rRNA from 1 species